GACAAUAAAUUUGGUACUUUCUAAAGCCAUUUUAUAAGAACAUACCACUGAUAUUUCAAUUCCCUCCUAUAAACCCAAUUCUCACAAAUUGAAUAACUGAUAUAACACUGAUACAUGAUGACAACAUAUUAUACAAUAUAACCAAUAUCACAUAAUCACGUUUGAAACAACAAUUCAACAAAAUCAAUUUACAGAGAACUCAGAUAAAACUAAAAUUUAGAGAUUUAGGAGUUAAUUAUACCUUAAUCUUCUUGAUUAACACAAGAUAGUGAGUCUCUUCCUUCCCUUGACAAACUCACAAAGAUUAUUCUUUCAAUUCCUCACCCUCAAAACUCAGCAAUUCUCUCUUCCUCUGUUAGCAAGCCUUAGAAAACAAUACGCGUAGGAAAAAUAUAACCACUCCCACGCUCCCUUACGUUAGAAAAAUAAAAAGACUCGUCAGUUGGAAUAAUGCCAAAGGCCAUGUUUGGCUAACCAAAAACUCU
rnacentral:lncRNA from 1 species